CCGGUAUUGAUAUGCUAGUAUGAUAAAGUGUUCAUUUUAUAUCCUCAUAGUUCUAGUACAUAUGGGAAAUAAUAAUUUCAUGCUAGGCUUGAUUUUGAUAAGAAUCAUUUGACAAUUCAAGAUACGUUUAUAGCAUUUGUUAUGUUACUGUUUUCUUUAGGUGACAUGUUUAUGGCCUAAUUAACAACUUUGAUGGAAUUAAAUCUGAUGAUCACUUUAUCAUGGGUUAAUUAGUGUUAUCACUACAGUUUACAUGGCUCAAUGUUUACUUUGCAAUUUCCUUCAAUCCAGACUAUUUGUAACCUUCGUUUCUAAAGGUUUUAUUUUUUUUAAUUUUUUUUUUUUAAAACAAAAAUCAACGAAUUUAAAAACCCAUGAACAUGUCAAAACUGCUCAAACCACGAAAAUUGAUACACACGAAUUAAAGUACUUUCACAGUACUUAGUCUAAAUCUCAUAAACAUGAUUACAUUUACAUAUUCAGUUACAUUUAAGACAAACUAUAUAUCAAUUGCUUCAAUAAUAUUCAUAUCAGUGAAAAAUACUGGACACACUAUGUUUAAUUUACUCCCCAAACAAUCAACUUGUCAAACAGGGAAAAGAAUAACAUUGCAAAUAGACAAAUAAAAUGAAAAAUUAAGCUUUAAAAUUUCGUAAAUGGGAGGUACUAGAUAUCUAAGAUAUUGACAACACUCCCAUCUACUUAGAACCAGUUUCUUACAAAAAAAGAUUUCAAUCAGUGAUCUGAAGGAUAAAAUAUGGUUGAUGAAAGACAUUUGUUGCCAUUUGUCACAUAAUAUACUAGUCAACAAAAGAAACGAUACACCACUUUGAUCAAAAAUAAUAUUUCACCGUUUACUUGAAAACAAUUAAAAAUAGAUAGAAUAUGUUAUUUUAAUGUUCUAUGGGACAAAGUAAAAUAAAAAACAGUCCCGACAGUUCCUGUACAGAAUAUGGACGGAUCAAAGUCAGUAUCAGGCAUUUCAGUUUCCUGAAUGAAAUAGCGAGUAUGACCACCUCUCUAAGCUACCACAGCUUCACACCUAAGAGGCACAGAUUCAACCAAAGUCUUAAUGUUGGAUUGGGGGAUAAUAACUCCUCUUUGAAAGCUUUGUAUCAUUUCCAGUGGAUUUUGCUUUAUUGAAAAGAUCUGCCAAUUUGAUCCCAUAAAUGUUCUAUAGGAAAGAGAUUGGGAGACAAUGCUGGCCAAGGGAGAACUCAAAAAUGGUUUUGCUCAAGAUAGUCCAAACAGGUCCAUGCCACUUGACAUCUAGCAUUAUCUUGUUGGAAAACGUGGGUGAAACCAUGUUGUUGAAUGGCAUCCCUAUCUCUCAAAUCGUUCAAGUUAACAUCAACAAUGUUUAACUAUGUACGUCCGUUGUGACAUAUUCUCACCCAUACCGACGAGCUUCAGCCCUCCAAAAUGGUUGCAGAAGUGUAAAAGAUGUAUCACGCAAUUUUGACGUUGUGAUGUUGCAUGGGGUCCGCCGCUACAGGGUCUAUAAUUUGUUGAGCCAGAUUGCCUAAGACGAAUCAUCAAGUCUUGAUAUUGGUAUUCCUGCCCCAUGAAAAUGUUUUGCGAUGUCAGUGUACAUCAUCCCAGAUCUUACCAUAACAACAGCUUGUUCAUGCUAAUCUGGAGUAAUCUGGCCAUCAAAUUCUCUAUGUUUUUCACCAUUUUUUAAGAUGGCAAAUUGUUAACUUGACGCAGUAGCCUUAUUAUUGUCAUCAAACAAUUUAAAUGCUUCAUUGAUUCAGCGAGAAAUUAAUUAAAUACAAAAAAUAACAU
rnacentral:lncRNA from 1 species